GGGUCAGUAGGUUGGUCGUGCCACCGGUACGUACUGGUCUCACUGGUUCCUCCUUCCUGAAGAACCGUAAUGCCAUUAAUUUGGUGUUGCGGGGAAACAGGACUGCUACUUUGAAAAAAUUAGAGUGUUUAAAGCAAGCUAACGCUUGAAUACAUUAGCAUGGAAUAAUGAAAUAGGACGAUCGAUCCUAUUUUGUUGGUUUCUAGGAUUGACGUA
rnacentral:rRNA from 1 species